UCACUGGGCUUAAAGCGUACGCAGGCGGAUUUGUAGGUAUCUUGUGAAAUCCCACGGCUCAACCGUGGAACUGCAGGGUAAACCACAAAUCUUGAGACAAGUAGGGGUCAGUGGAACUAUGAGUGGAGCGGUGAAAUGCGUAGAUAUUCAUGGGAACGCCAAUGGCGAAGGCAACUGACUGGGCUUGUUCUGACGCUCAGGUACGAAAGCGUGGGUAGCGAACGGGAUUAGAUACCCCGGUAGUCCACGCCGUAAACGAUGCACACUAGGUCGCGGUACCUCUCAUGGUUUCGCGGCCGAAGGUAAACUGAUUAGUGUGCCGCCUGGGGAGUACGGUCGCAAGGCUAAAACUCAAAGGAAUUGACGGGGGCUCACACAAGCGGUGGAGCAUGUUGCUUAAUUCGAGGCAACGCGAAGAACCUUACCUAGACUUGACAUGUAUGGAUUAGCUCUUGGAAACAAGAGUGACGCCCUUGGGUGGAACAUACACAGGUGCUGCAUGGCU
rnacentral:rRNA from 1 species